GUACACACUUCAACAAAACCAGAUAUGCCCACCUCAAAUUUUCAGGAAGGAGCUACCUACAGCACCAUUGCGAAAGUUAAAUCUAUUGUACCUUCAACUAAAUGGUACUACAAAGGAUGCAAACAUUGUGACAGAGGAUACAACAACAACUCAGAUACUCCAACAUGCCUUUGCACAAAUUCAUCUCCAAAGCCAUUGUACAAGCUACCAAUAACACUUACAGAUGACUCGGGAGAUUUAGA